UGUCUUUCCUAAUUAUCACGAUUACUUUGAAGACAAAGAAAUCAGCUCUGCUUCAAAGAAAGAGGAGGAGGAAAAAGGAAAUUUAUUCCUUGUGGUUGUCAAACGAGCGUCUCUUUCUUCGGCCCCCACUUUACCAGUCAUCUUUCCCAGGGGUCCCCAGCCUGCUCCCCUCCACUAGAUGCUCAGCCAUUAAACCCAACGGGAAGAUGAGCUUGUCCAUCCAGAUUUGCUUUUUUCCUCCUGCUGGGGUCUCCACUCAAAGCUUUCAGUCUUACAUGUGUCUACCAGACUAUGUACUUGCCCCCUUUGAGUUGGAUGAAAUCUGGUUUUCAG